rnacentral:lncRNA from 1 species
UAUGGAGCAGGAAGUCCAAUCUCUGACAGAAAAGGAUGAGCUGAUCGUGCACAAUAUCACAGAUCAAAUUCAAGUUGAGAAUAAAGAUCAGCCACUAGUAGAGGUUGAAGAGUUGCAAGAAUUAGAUCCAGAGGAGGGUAGCAUUCAAAGGCUCGAAAAGGAUGUAAUAUCAGAGGACAUAAUAGCAGCCGAAACAGUUACAUCACUCCAAGAGGAAACAGUGUUGCUUACUGAAGUCAAUGUUGAGCCUGAAAAGGAAGAUGAACUACAAACAGAUGCUGCUAAACCUGAACAUGUUCAAGUACCAGAAGCUGUGCAAACCUCCACAUUAGAUUCAGAAGAGGGCAGUGUCCAAUCACCAACAGAGGAAGUAAAAUCAGAGGACUUUCCACCAACAGAAACAGUUACAGGUGAACACAAACAGACAGAAGAUCGUCUCACUGAAAUCAGUGUUGAGCCAGAAAACAAAGAACUACAAGUGAAUGUUGUCAAAACUGUUCCAGAACCAGAAGUAUUACAAGCACCCACAUUAGAGUCAGAGGGGGGUAGCCUUCUAUCACUUGAAAAGGAAGUAAUAUCAGAGGAUGUUACAGAUGAGCCCAACAAGGAAACAAUACCUCUCACUGAAGUCAAUCUUGAGCCAGUGGAUGCUUCUAAAACUGAAAACGUUCGAGAACCAGAAGUCUUACAAUCUGUUCCAGCACCCAUAUCAGACUCAGAGGUGGGUAGCCUUCUAUCAAUUGAAAAAGAGGUAAAAUCAGAGGAUACACCAGAAGCAGAAACCGUUACAGAUGAACCCAGGGAAGAGACAAAACCUCCCAUUACAGUCAAUUGUGAUGCUUCCAAAACAGAACAUGUUCAAGAACCAGAGGUAUUAGAAGCUGUUCAAGCAGCUACAUUAGAUUCAGCAGAGGGCAGUGUUCAAUCACUUGAAAAAGAGAUAAUAUCAGAGGAUAUUCCAGUAGUGGAAACUGUUACAGAAGAGCCCAAAAAGGAAGCUGAUGUUAAGAUAGAAGAAGAAAAACUAUCAAUAGAAACUGCCAAAACCAAAUAUGUUCAAGAACCAGAAG